GGGGUGUGCUCAGCGUAGGGGGCCUGGAGAAUGGCUUCUCUGUUCAUACCACACCCAAGAGGAAUCUGGGGCCAUUUUGAUGAGGGGCACAGUGUGUCCUCUCUGUGAGCAGAUCCCCUACAUGC